CUUAUGAGAAUGCCAAUGUAGC
rnacentral:piRNA from 1 species